rnacentral:rRNA from 1 species
UACGGAGGGUGCAAGCGUUAAUCGGAAUUACUGGGCGUAAAGCGUGCGCAGGCGGUUUGUUAAAUCCGCUGUGAAAUCCCCGAGCUCAACUUGGGAAUUGCAGUGGAUACUGGCAAGCUGGAGCAUGGUAGAGGAAGGUGGAAUUCCCGGUGUAGCAGUGAAAUGCGUAGAGAUCGGGAGGAACACCAGUGGCGAAGGCGGCCUUCUGGACCAAUACUGACGCUCAUGCACGAAAGCGUGGGGAGCAAACAGG